AAACUUCCGCAAUGGACGAAAGUCUGACGGAGCAACGCCGCGUGAGUGAAGAAGGUCUUAGGAACGUAAAACUUCGUUGAUAGGGAAGAACAAGUAUCGUUCGACUAGGGCAGUACCUUGACGGUACCUACCCAGCAAGCCACGGCGAACUACGCGCCAGCCGCCGCGGUAAUACGUAGGUGGCAAGCGUUAUCCGGAAUUAUUGGGCGUAAAGCGCACGCAGGCGGUUUCUUAAGUAUGAUGUGAAAGCCCACGGCUCAACCGUGGAGGGUCAUUGGAAACUGGUAAGCUUGAGUGCAGAAGAGGAGAGUGGAAUUCCAUGUGUAGCGGUGAAAUGCGUAGAGAAAUGGAGGAACACCAGUGGCGAAGGCGACUCUCUGGUCUGCAACUGACGCUGAGGCGCGAAAGCGUGGGAAGCGAACA
rnacentral:rRNA from 1 species